rnacentral:lncRNA from 1 species
AAAAAAGUAAAAAUAUGUUCAUGAAAGAGAUCAAGAAAGCAGGAUUAGCGAUAAUGCUUAGACUACUGUUCUAAAAAGUGUUGAAUGCCUACUGGAACCUACGACGGAUUUGUAACGAAUUUGUACUUCUAUCUCUGAAAAUGAUAUUAUUUUUUUCCAUUUAAUUAGUCCACCAGAUUGUUGAAAGCCUAGUAAAAAUCUAGUCCACCAGAAGUUCUAGAACAGAUGAUUACAAGUCUCUGGGUCGCUCGCAUGUAGUACACGAAUGUGUGCUUUUCUUGGAGUCUCUUUAG